rnacentral:rRNA from 1 species
AUUGAACGCUGGCGGCAGGCCUAACACAUGCAAGUCGAGCGGAUGAAAGGGGCUUGCUCCUGGAUUCAGCGGCGGACGGGUGAGUAAUGCGCAGGAAUCUACCUCGUAGUGGGGGAUAACGUUUCGAAAGGAACGCUAAUACCGCAUACGUUCUGAGGAAGAAAGCAGGGGACCUUCGGGCCUUGCGCUAUGAGAUGAGCUUGCGUCCGAUUAGCUAGUUGGUGGGGUAAAGGGCCUACCAAGGCGACGAUCGGUAACUGGUCUGAGAGGAUGAUCAGUCACACUGGAACUGAGACACGGUCCAGACUCCUACGGGAGGCAGCAGUGGGGAAUAUUGGACAAUGGGGGCGAACCCUGAUCCAGCCAUGCCGCGUGUGUGAAGAAGG